CCUGCGGUAGCAGCCACUGCGCCUGCGCACAGCCUCAGGGGGGGCGGAGCCCUCGGUGCACCCCCUCUUUUGCCCUGCCCUCCUUCUCUUUCCACCCACCCACCCCGACACCCCUCGUCCCUCCCCCAACCACCCCGAACGGAUAGACAGGGCGGAUUCUCCCUGUGGGGAAGGACACUGUGUGCAUGUCUUGCCUUCGCUGCCACCUCCUCCUUCUCAAUAUCCUCUUGCUGGGAGGAGGUUCCUCAUCUCCGUUGUUGCAUCCAGCUGCUGCUACUGCCAGUGCCACGUGCCUUGUAAGCCAUGAAAGAGGCUGACACCUGCACACUCGGGCACGACUUAAAAUAGAACUUGUCAAACAGUGAUCCUCUCUGGAUCAAGCUCGGAAGAACAAACAGCUCUUGAACUCGCCUCCCAGCCUAAAAAGACUGCAGUGUGUGACAAUGUGGGGUAGUUUGGUGGGAACGACAAAUCCGACACUUUCAAAAUCCUGACGAUCCUCAGGAAUUCGGAAGUCAGGGGAUUCUAUGCUGGAUUGUGAAGCAUCUGUUUCUGCUUGAUGUAGCUACUCAAUUUUGUAUUCUUGACUAAUAAAGUCAUAAACAUAAUGCAACCUCUGUGUGUGCUCUCCUUCCAUUAAUUUAUACUUUACCUAAAAGUAUUGAAUGUGUAUGUUAUAUAACAGUUUCCUAUAAAUGACAUUAAAUGAUUUAUUAGUUCUAUUCAAUAAAGUUUUAAGUGUUUUCUUCUAUGACUACAUUACUUGUUAACAAGAAAUUUCUUUAUUUUUAACUGAAAACUUCAAGCGAGAUUAUCUGGGAAUUCUUUCAAACAGAAUUUUACCUGUAUUUUGGGAUUGAAUAUAUUAAUUUCUUUUACUAUUUUAAUAGGACAUAAUUUUACGAGACAAGCCACUUUUUCAAAGCCUGCUUCCCCUCCCAUUUUCCCUAUCUGUGUGAUUGGCACCUUCAACCCCUGUAGCCUGCCUCUGCUCUGUCUUAACCAAGUCCUACUGAUACUACUUCUUAAGUAUUUUUGAGCCCUGUCCUUCCUCUCCAUCAUAGUGGACUCAUUUCUAGGUGAAAUCCUUAUGGUACCCUCCCUGUAUUAUUGUAGUAAUCAGAGAGUUGGUCUCCUUACCUCAGGAUUCACUUCUUCUCAUCUGUUGUUCACAGUGACAUCAGAAAGAUAUUUUUAAGUUAUGAAAUAGAAUUAAUUAUAUAAAACACACAUAUACACAUAAAUAGCACUUAAAUCCUUCAAUGAUGUUUCAAUUAUAUAAAAUAUAAUAUAGAGGGCACUUUAUGUUCUGGCCUCAAUCUUUCAAUUCAAACUUGUCUCCUGCCACUCUCUCCUUUGAGCAUUGUAUUCCAGCUACUUUAGAAUAACAAUAAUAUAUAAUAUUUGUGGAGCCCUUCCUGGGUUCCUAUCACUGUACAAAAUACUUCACAUAUAUUAUAUCAUUUACUCUUCGACAACUUUAUUAGGUAGGUACUAUUAUUAUCUAUAUUUUAUAGAUAAGAAAAAAGAGGGUUAAAACUUGCCAAAGUUACAAAGCUUAGAAGUGUAGCAGUUGGGAUUUGAAUCUAGGCACCCUGCCUCUAAAGUCCACAGUGGCUUUCUUGUGCCACAAGGCUUGCAGUUCCCUAGACUUGACUUUCUCAAAAUCUGUGUCUUUCACAUGCUCUUCCAAUUGUCUGGAAAAUCUGUCACAACCUCGUUCUACCUGUGGUACUCAUGUUCAUCCCAUAAGACUUGACUCCAUCUGUUCCCCCUCCAUGAAAGUUUCCCUGAAUCUCAGCACUUUGGGAGGCUGAGGCUGGUGAAUCGCCUGAGAUCAGAAGUUCGAGACCACCCUGGGCAACGUGGUGAAACCCCGUCUUUACUAAAAUACAAAAAACUAGCCAGGCAUAGUGGCGCACACCUGUAAUUCCAGCUGCUCAGGAGGCUAAGGCUGGAGAAUUACUUGAUCCUGGAGGCAGAGGUUGCAGUGAGCCAAGAUCACACCACUGCACUCCACCUUGGCCUACAGAGUGAGACUCCAUCAAAAAAAAGAAAGGAAGAAAGGAAGAAAAGGAAGGAAGGAAGGAAGGAAGGAAGGAAGGAAGGAAGGAAGGAAGGAAAAAGAGAAGGAAGGAAGGGAAAGGAAAGAAGAAAGAAAGAGAAAAAGAAAGAAAAGAGAGAGAGAGAAAGAAAAAAGAAAGAAGAGAAAAAAGGAAAGAAAGGAAAGAAAGAGAAAGAAAGAGAAAGAAAGAGAAAGAAAGAAAGAAAGAAAGAAAAGAAAGAAAGAAAGAAAGAAAGAAAGAAAGAAAGAAAGAAAAGAAAGAAAGAAAAAAGAAAGUAAGUUUCUCUGACUCCCUGGUCAGGGCUCAUGCCUUGGCACUGAGGGCAUCUUGCAAAACUGAAGGAGGCCACUUGGUGUAACAGACAGAAAAUAA